UACGUAGGUGGCAAGCGUUGUCCGGAAUUAUUGGGCGUAAAGCGCGCGCAGGUGGUCCUUUAAGUCUGAUGUGAAAGCCCACGGCUCAACCGUGGAGGGUCAUUGGAAACUGGGGGACUUGAGUACAGAAGAGGAAAGUGGAAUUCCACGUGUAGCGGUGAAAUGCGUAGAGAUGUGGAGGAACACCAGUGGCGAAGGCGACUUUCUGGUCUAUAACUGACACUGAGGCGCGAAAGCUUGGGGAGCGAACAGG
rnacentral:rRNA from 1 species